AGGACGAACGCUGGCGGCGUGCUUAACACAUGCAAGUCGAACGGACUCCAACCUUCGGGUGAAGAGUCAGUGGCGAACGGGUGAGUAACACGUGAGAAACCUAUCCUGGUCUCUGGGAUAACAGCCGGAAACGGCUGCUAAUACCGGAUGCCGUCGGAGCGUCGCAUGGCGCGCUGACGAAAGGGUUACUGGAUCAGGAGGGUCUCGCGGCCUAUCAGCUAGUUGGUGGGGUAACGGCUACCAAGGCGUCGACGGGUAGCUGGUCUGAGAGGAUGAUCAGCCACACUGGGACUGAGACACGGCCCAGACUCCUACGGGAGCAGCAGUGGGGAAUCGUUGCGCAAGU
rnacentral:rRNA from 1 species